rnacentral:rRNA from 1 species
GCUGGAGGUAUCAGAAGUGCGAAUGCUGACAUAAGUAACGAUAAAGCGGGUGAAAAGCCCGCUCGCCGGAAGACCAAGGGUUCCUGUCCAACGUUAAUCGGGGCAGGGUGAGUCGACCCCUAAGGCGAGGCCGAAAGGCGUAGUCGAUGGGAAACGGGUUAAUAUUCCCGUACUUGGUGUUACUGCGAAGGGGGGACGGAGAAGGCUAUGUUGGCCGGGCGACGGUUGUCCCGGUUUAAGCGUGUAGG